AUCGACUGACGUUCACCACAGAUCUGUUCUUUUCAGUUUAAUCUCUGAAACGUGGCUACGGCCACUUCAAUGAUUAUACUUAUUUUUGGCCCUGGAUGGGUGACCGCUGGGCUUGCCUAUGUCACUCGUCACCGUGUCGCUGGUAUUGCACUAUCUCCAGCUGACGCGACCUCUU
rnacentral:snRNA from 1 species